GUCUUUUUGAUAAAUAAUUUAAAGUCUAAUCUGCCCCCUGAAAUUAUUUUAAAGGGCUGCGGUAUCUUAACCGUACAAAGGUAGCAUAAUAAUUAGGUUUUUAAUUGAAAUCUUGAAUGAACGAUUGGACGAGAUAUGAGCUGUUUUAAAAUAUAAGAAUUGAAUUUAAUUUUUUGGUUAAAAAGCUAAAAUAUAAUUAAAAGACGAGAAGACCCUAUAAAUCUUUAUAACAUAAUUAUUUUAAUUGAUUAUUUAAAUUAAAGUUAGUUUAAAUAUUUUUGUUAUUUUAUUGGGGUGAUAUAAAAAUUUUAUAAACUUUUUAUUAAAUAAAAUCUAAAAUUAAAGAUUUUGUCAUUAGAUGAGCUAUUAAUAAUAAUUUAAAGAAAAAGAUACUUUAGGGAUAACAGCGUAAUUUUAAUAUUAAGUUCAUAUUAUUAUUAAAGAUUGCGACCUCGAUGUUGGAUUAAAAUUUAAUUUAAAUGCAAAAGUUUAAAAAUUAAGUCUGUUCGACUUUUAAAAUUUU
rnacentral:rRNA from 1 species